UACGUAGGGCGCAAGCGUUGUCCGGAUUUUAUUGGGCGUAAAGAGCUCGUAGGCGGUUUGUCGCGUCUUCCGUGAAAAACUGGGGGCUUAACUUCCAGCUUGCGGUGGAUACGGGCUGACUGGAGUGCGGCAGGGGGAGACUGGAAUUCCUGGUGUAGCGGUGAAAUGCGCAGAUAUCAGGAGGAACACCGGUGGCGAAGGCGGGGUCUCUGGGCCGUUACUGACGCUGAGGAGCGAAAAGCGUGGGGGAGCGAACAGG
rnacentral:rRNA from 1 species